ACCUUGGGCAACAAUACUGAUCAGAUGCAAAAAUUUAUAUCCAUGUUUGUUUUAAAAUAGAUACAUAUACAUAUAGGAUAUAAGUUAAUUUAACUUUGUGACCAUAAAAUCAAAUAUAUCACUGAAUAUAAGGUAAAUUAAUUCAGUAACAUGUUAAUAGGGUCAUUUAUUUUUCUUAAAAGGUUAUGAGUACUAUAUAAGAUUAAAUAAGAUUACAAACAGAAUCAGAUACUCAGAUACGGAUUGGAUAGUUAUUUAUCCACAUCCAUAUCCAUAUCCAUUUUUUUUUUUUAAUGGAUAUAGAUAUAGGUAUGGGUAUGGUUCGCCAUAUCGGUCCGAACUGAACGGUACGAAUGUACCAUACCGGUUCGGUACCAGUACUUGGUAUGGAUGGCGUACUACAUUUGGUACGCCAAAAAAAUUCCGUACCAUACCGUAUCGACACAUUGCUUAUGUGGCACCGGUAACGGGCCCGAUACUGAGACGACGAACCUUGAUUACGAGUAUUAGAGGAUGUUCAGAUUUGUAUCCGUAUUUGGAUACAAAAUGGAUUUGGAUGGAUAUUAUCUAGUCCACUUUCACCCCUUCUAUGGAUCCUACCAUGGUACCCAAAAAAGCUCCUUGCCAUAUGAAACAAAAUGGGUUGUUUUGGCAAAAUCCCCUAUUUGGCUAGGACUGGAACUCUGAUUGGUAGCAAUACUCAGUUUGUAAAGAGGCUGUGAUGACUGCCAGUGCAAGAUGCGCGUGAAAGGCAUUUUUCUUUGACAGAGAGAGAGAGAGAGAGAGAUUACUUCUGAGAUGUUAAAGCAUUUCUAUUCUUCUUGUUGUAGCGGCAUGGCAAGCCUGGAUGGUCUGCGACUCCACAGGCAACCGCUUGCAGCUGCCUGGUACUUGAGGCGCAGAUGACCUUACAAUGCCUUAUUAUAAAUUGGCAGAUCUGAGUCUCCUCUUCCUCUUCUCCUUCUUGACUUUGUUAAAUCUCUACUUCAAUACCAUUUUUGAGUUCUUAAAAUUACUUUGUUCUAUUUAUUUUUCACUUUGUUGCCUAUGAAAGACUUGGUUUGCUCCUGAAGUGCCUUAAGAAUCCAAGUGAUAUGGUGAUGGAUGAAAGGUUGGUUUGGAAAAUAUUUUGAAUUAUAAGAAACUAAGAUUCUGAAAAUUUCCUCUAAAAAAAAAAAUGCUAAAGGUCAUCAGUACUGUCACCACUCAGUUCUGAGACUCCUAUAUGGUAAUCAGGAUUGGUGCAAUACCCAGGGUUAGGCAAUGAGAGGCAGGGUUGGGAUGUGGUUUCAGUAUUCAGGAUUGUUGCCUAUGAAAGACUUGGUUUAUUCCCUAGGACCCUCAUGGUCCCAUAUGUAGUGGUGGAUGAAUAAUUAGCACAAAUAUUGCAUUAUAUGUAGUGGUGGAUGAAUAAUUAGCACAAAUAUUGCAUUAUAAGCAGCUCAUGUUCUGGAAACCCUAGUACUUAUUUGUUCCAUUUGGGUUGAUAGGCAUUCAGGGAUUUGCUUUCUUGAUGAUAGGGAUAUAUGGCAUUCUUGUUUUUUAGCCAUAUCUUGAAAAAGUUUUCAUCUAGAGUUGUUUGUGUAGCUUUAAAACCUGUGCAUUUUAUGAUUGCAAGUCAAUUUCAAAGGGUGCACUGAGGCUUGACCAAGGCUGGUGAAUGGGCAUGUAAAACUAUCAUGUUGGUACUGAGUACUGUUGCUUGCCACUUCUAUUCUGCGAAUAAUUGAUACAAAAUACAUAUGGUAGUUGUGUCCUAUCUAUUCUGUUUUUGUUUCAUCAGAUUCUAUUUCCUUCAUAGUAACAAUAUUCUUUGAAUAAUUUGAAAAUUAUUCAGUUACUUUCUUUCAUCGACCUAGUGACAGUCACAAGUUCUUUGCCUGAAAUGAAUUUGGUUAGAGGUAGACAUUCAGAGUUAGGGAAAAAUUCAGCAAAUUCAUCAAGAGUUUUGAAAUAGUUUGGAUCACAAAAAUAUCAAGAAUGACAUAACAACAGAAUGAAUAUAAGCUCUUUAAAAUAAAAAUGGCCGUUUCGGUGCAUAAGGCUCCGUCACUGCAGGGCCUAGGAAGGGUUAGAUGUACAACAGCCUUAACCUCAUGUGUAGAGAGGCUGUUUCAUAUUUCAAACUGGUGACACCCAGGUGACAAUGGAGUAACCACAUCGGUGCGCCAAGGCCUGCCCUCUUUUAAAAUAUUUAUAUAUUUAUUUACUCAAAAGUAUACAAAAAAGUGGCUAUAGCAAAACAACUCAAUGGGCAGCAUUUAAUGGUAUCAACAGUUUUGUAACACAGAGUUCUUAAAUUAAUAUUUAGUAACUUGUCAAUAACUUGUAAACUUUGCAUACAAUUCCAUGGAUAAGUCAAUAGUUUUGAAUUCAGGUGCAGAGAAAUUUUGAAGAAUCAUUUAGUUGAUGGGAAAAAUCAAAGAAUAAUUCACAAAUUUUUCAAUUAUUUGGAGAAUAUUGUUACUGUGCUUAGGGUGUGUUUUGCGUCUGCUUUAGAAGAAGAGAAGCUAGAAGAUAAAUUUUUCUAACUUUUCUAAAAAGAACCUUUUUAACUUUUUCUUCUUGUAGAAGCACUUUUUAGAUAAUGUUGUCAAACACUUAUUUUUGAAGUGCUUUUUUUGCUUUAAAAGUCAUAAAAACACUUUUCUAAGCAAUACCAAACACACCCUUAGUGAUUUUGUAACUGUUCUCUAAAUGCAAGGAGGUGAUCAUGGCUAACCCUCAUCUCUCAACUCCUCUAUGUGUCUAAUGAUUGGAACAGCAAUCUGGAUGGUCUGUUGUUCCAUGGGCAAUUGAUUGCAGCCAUCAUUAGAUGGAUAGAUGGUGGGAGGAGAGGGGAGGGGAAUCUCCCAGUUUGGUAUGGGAUGAUUUAUCUGAACCUCCGGUGGCAAUUCGUGGCCCUUCUUCUCCAAGUGCAUUCUGACAUGCUCAAUGCUGGUGUUCUAUCAAAAGGAACAGUUUGAUUUGCUCUCCAGAAGUAACCAGGAUUCAUAUAUGCCAGAUCUUUUUGAUGAACUGUCCAGGGCAAUUUUGGCAUUUUGGCACUUUGAGCCUCAGGGAGAUAUGUAAAUGGUAUUCUGCAGUUUAUGUUGAGGGUUUUGGGGGGGUUCAGUGGGUAAGAAGGCUGCCUUCUCUCCUAAACUCGUGAUUCUUUUAUUGUUAAUCAAACUUUCUUGUCCUCUUGUUUUUUGCAGGAGCAGCAUAAUUGAGAUGAAAUUCAUGGAAUCUGGGUCUGAUCUAGCUUAGCUUUGAAUUUAAUUUCAAGCCUGAAAUACAGGAUGAAGCUUGUUUGUUUUCUAAUUCUGGUUGGGCUUUGUUGAGUCUAAUUACUUGUGGAGAUGAGCAAAAGCAUCUUUCCAGUGGCAUGUCACCCUUAAAUCAGGCUGACUGUAAUCAAGCUUAAUUCAUUUGAAUAUCCAGUCCUAGUUCUCAGCCCUCCCCCGAUUUCUCAGGUGCGUUUCACGUGUCAUGCCUGCAUAUCAACUACAGAGACAGGACAUAAGAAGUUUUUGGCUGAUCUUCGCCCCAAAGCAAACGUUGGGGCUUCUGAUAGAGCUUGGUUACUUGAAGGUUUUGUCCUCUCUUAAUUCUAUUAUUCUUUGAUCUUUAAAAUUGAUGGGUUUUGAUUAUUUGGGAAUGCCUGGGAGAGCAUAUUAUCAUCCUGGUUAAAGUGAUCUCUCUCUCUCUCUCUCUCUCUCUCUCUCUCUCUCUCUUCCUUCUUUAUCUUCAUGUAUUAGUGAUGAUUAUCUGAGUAGCUGUUAGGCGGUGAACCCUCUCCCCCCUAUUGUCGGUGGUUUUGAGGGUGCAAGCCUAAGUUCUAUAGGAUUGUUUAUCUGGGUUGAUGUUUAGUAUCUUGCUUUCUUGUUCUGUCUAUAUGGAGUCUGUGGUGAUUUCCAAUGCAAAAUGUGCUUCAAGUUCUACAUCACUCUGCAGCCUAACAGUCACUCAGGUUAUCAUCACGAGCACAUGAAGAUAAAGAAGGCGAAGAGAGAGAGAGAGAGAGAGAGAGAGAGAGAGAUCACUUUAACAAGGAUGAUAAUAUGCUCUCCCAGGCAUUCCCAAAUAAUCAAAACCCAGCAAUUUUAAAGAUAAAAGAAUAAUAGAACUAAGAGAGGACAUCUUCAUAGUAACAAGGAUGAUAAUACGCUCUGCACCUUCAUAGUAACCAAGCUUGGAUGGACUGCUGCUGCAGGCACCUGCUGACAGCUGCUUGUCAAGGUGCAGAGGAAAUCAAAGCGCAGAUAUGAGACUCCUCUUCCCCUCCCCCUUCUUUACCCUUUUUUCUUUAGGCAUGUUUUUGAAGCUGGUUUUCUGUUUUUUUGCUCUUUUCUUUUCCAGUUUGCCCCCCCUGUUAAGGCCCUCUUUGUUUCUGAGGCCUCCAAGAACCUAAAUAAUAUAGUGGUGAAUGAAAGGUCAGGGAAAACACAUUACAUUAAUGAGCAGAUAUGUUCUGGAAACUCAACACUUAUUUAUCCCAUUAGGGUUGGCAGAUAUUUGGGGAUUGCUGGUAUGAUAGUGCAUGUUGCAUUCGUAUUUUCAGCCAUUUCUUGUAACAGUUGGUUAUGAAGCUCUCUACUUUUCCCAGUAUUGUUAACCUUUUAUGUGGUUCAUGGUUGCAGUUCAUUUUAAAGUGCCUGGAGGCUUCACCUAGUCUGGUGGAUAUGUGCAAAAAUUUGUGGUCUUUGUAUGAAAACUGUAAGCAGUGCCCUUCUACCGUCCAAAGUUGGUUAAGCUUGGAGGGUCCUCCCAUCUGCAGGCAGUAGUUUUCCUCUGCGUGCGGAUAUGGUGCAGAGGAUGUCACAGUGCUUUCUUAUUAUAAUCAGCUUCCUCAGCUACUUUAUUUUGUCAAAUUUCUGCUUUUAGAUUUUGUCUGAAAGUUUUUUCUAUUUUUUUAAGAUAUUCUUUUCUUUGGCUUGUUUUCUUCUUGAGGUUGCUCGAGCCCAUCUAAUCUAGUGAUGGAUGAUGGAUUAUGGGUGACAUAGUUUGCACCAAUAGCUGAUAGGUUUAGGAAAAAAUCAAACUCUGGCUGGUAGAGAUUUGGGGAUUCCUUCGAUUAUUAUAAGGGAUAUGUGGAAACCAAUUCAUUCCUUUUAUACUCUUCUUACAUAUUUAACUUUAUGAUACUUCUUUCAACAAUUUUAAGCCACUAAGCAGGUGGUGGACAAGUACCUAUUGGUAUUUUUUUUCUUUUGGUUCA